rnacentral:misc_RNA from 1 species
GUGAAUACUAGGACGUCCAAUUUAACUUGGAGUCCGAACUCUCACUCUCUAACUCUGUGCAUUUGUUUUGGUUAGUAGGACGCUUGCGUCUGAACCCCUCUUCAUUUACAAACACUAAGUCUAUGAAUGUUUAAAUUUUAUAACAAAACA